AAUAAGUACAGUUUUGUGCUGUUUAUGUCCAACGUUUGACUGUUUGUCUUAUUUGAAUUUUUUUAUUAGUAUUUUUAUGUUAUUAAAUGAUAAAACAUGAAUAGUACUUUAUGUGUGACUAAUUUUUUAAAAAAUUAUAUUUUUUUUAAAUAAGACGAACAAUCAAACGUUGAACACGGAUACUCACGGCUGCACUUAUU
rnacentral:pre_miRNA from 1 species